AACGAACGCUGGCGGCAUGCCUAACACAUGCAAGUCGAACGAGACCUUCGGGUCGAUUGGCGCACGGGUGCGUAACGCGUGGGAACCUGCCCUUAGGUUCGGAAUAACUCCCCGAAGGGGGUGCUAAUACCGGAUAAUGUCUUCGGACCAAAGAUUGAUCGCCUUUGGAUGGGCCCGCGUUGGAUUAGCUAGGUGGUAGGGUAAAAGCCUACCAAGGCGGCGAGCCAUAGCUGGUCUGAGAGGCUGAUCAGCCACACUGGGACUGAGACACGGCCCAGACUCCUACGGGAGGGAGCAGUGGGGAAUAUUGGCCAAUGGGCGAAAGCAUGAUCCAGCAAUGCCGCGUGAGUGAUGACGGCCUUAGGGUUGUAAAGCUCUUUUACCCGGGAUGAUAAUGACAGUACCGGGAGAAUAAGCUCCGGCUAACUCCGUG
rnacentral:rRNA from 1 species